AACACACACGCAGUGUGUAUAUGUGUGUGUAUAUAUAUAUAUAUAUGUGUGUGUGUGUAUAUAUAUAUAUAUAUAUAUAUAUAUAUAUAUAUUAUAUAUACAAACACAUACAUACACUGCUGUGUGUGUG